GUGGGGAAUCUUCCGCAAUGGACGAAAGUCUGACGGAGCGACGCCGCGUGAGUGAAGAAGGCCUUCGGGUCGUAAAGCUCUGUCAUCAGGGACGAACGGCCGGUGGAGUGGAAAGCCACCGGAUUGACGGUACCUGAGAAGGAAGCCACGGAUAACUACGUGCCAGCAGCCGCGGUAAUACGUAGGUGGCAAGCGUUGUCCGGAAUUAUUGGGCGUAAAGCGCGCGCAGGUGGGAUCUUAAGUCCAUUUUGAAAGUUCGGAGCUCAACUCCGUGAUGGGAUGGAAACUGGGAUUCUUGAGUACCGGAGAGGAAAGCGGAAUUCCCCGUGUAGCGGUGAAAUGCGUAGAUAUGGGGAGGAACACCAGUGGCGAAGGCGGCUUUCUGGACGGUGUCUGACACUGAGGCGCGAAAGCUAGGGGAGCGAACGGGAUUAGAUACCCUUGUAGUCC
rnacentral:rRNA from 1 species